GACGAACGCUGGCGGCGUGCUUAACACAUGCAAGUCGAACGGAAAGGCCCUGCUUUUGUGGGGUGCUCGAGUGGCGAACGGGUGAGUAGCACGUGAGUAACCUGCCCUUGACUUUGGGAUAACUUCAGGAAACUGGGGCUAAUACCGGAUAGGAGCUCCUGCUGCAUGGUGGGGGUUGGAAAGUUUCGGCGGUUGGGGAUGGACACGCGGCUUAUCAGCUUGUUGGUGGGGUAGUGGCUUACCAAGGCUUUGACGGGUAGCCGGCCUGAGAGGGUGACCGGCCACAUUGGGACUGAGAUACGGCCCAGACUCCUACGGGAGGCAGCAGUGGGGAAUAUUGCACAAUGGGCGGAAGCCUGAUGCAGCAACGCCGCGUGCGGGAUGACGGCCUUCGGGUUGUAAACCGCUUUCGCCUGUGACGAAGCGUGAGUGACGGUAAUGGGUAAAGAAGCACCGGCUAACUACGUG
rnacentral:rRNA from 1 species